rnacentral:rRNA from 1 species
UACGUAGGUGGCGAGCGUUAUUCGGAUUCACUGGGCGUAAAGGGUCCGUAGGGGGUCUGCCAAGUCCGAUGUGAAAGCCCACGGCUCAACUGUGGAACGGCAUUGGAUACUGGCGGGCUGGAGUCUGCGAGGGGUGAGCGGAAUUCCUGGUGUAGCGGUGGAAUGCGUAGAUAUCAGGAAGAACACCGAUGGCGAAGGCGGCUCACUGGCGCAGUACUGACCCUGAGGGACGAAAGCGUGGGUAGCAAACAGG